rnacentral:misc_RNA from 1 species
UCGUCUUUUUUCCCCUUUCCUGCUUCCGCCAAGCUACCACAUUUCCGUCACUGUCGCCCCUUCAUUUUUUUUUUCAUUGCUUUCUUUUCGUUUGUGUGCUCCUGUCUCUCCUCGCCUCUUUUAUGUCCUCUCUCCUUUUUCCCUCUCCUCCCUUGGUGUGUAUUUGCGUGUAUGUGUGGAGGGGGGGGAGUGUGUGUGUCAUCAUCUUGUCUGUGGUGAUCCGCCACUCUUCUUGCUUCCCCCUCCCUUUGGCAUGCUGGUUUUGGUUGUGUGUGCCUCGUGUCUGCGUUGGUGCUCAGGUAUGUGUGUGUGUCUUCUUUCUUCGUCUUACUGAUGUUGAAGCGUCUGUCUCCCUUCUCAGCAGUAUUUGGGGGUUUGGUGUGUGGCUGCGUGCGUGCUGGUGCAUCUCUCUCUUCCUUUCCCCUUGCCCGUUUUCCGUCAUCGUCGCCUCGACUCCGCCCUGCGCGUACGCUCGUCUUUCCCUCCUGCGUCUGUGCAGCUGAAGAGGGAAGGGGAAGGGUGCGCUCACCCCCCCCCCGGAUAUGGGGUCUCGUGGAAGCAAAAGUGGACCAUGUCCUCUCGUGCUUUGAUUGCGCGCCCUUUUUAAAACUUCCCUCGAUCGGCACGCGUUGGCAAUCUUUUUUUUUUUCACAGUGGCUACAGAGAGAAAGAGGGGAUGGAUAAAGGCGAGCCGAAGGCAGAAGGGAGGUGCUGUCGGUAGUACCAAGUACACGACCUCACAAACAUGUGCAGCGGUGGGGAAGACAAGGAUGCGAACGCGUUUCAGCAAAAAUGGUCUGACGAUGGGCGGAGCCACAUUAGCCGCUUGAAAGGAACUACGUCGGCGAACGAAGCAGGUAUCGGAGACACGGGGGUAGUUGGAAGAGGGAGCGCGACAUGCACCACCUCCACGCUCCUUGUCGCUUUCCUAAUGCGUCCUCUAUUCAUGACACCCGCAUGCACACACAUACAGCAACUGACAAGUUGCAAAGUACUUCUCUUGUUUUUUUUUUGUGUGCUGCGUGGUCUGUUGGGAUUCGUUAGCAACCACUUCAUAGGAAGCUAUUCGGCAAGAGAGAACACGCAUCGACAGAUAGCAAAAGACGAAGCGACAGGAGAGGAAAGAAUUUGCUGUCCUUCCUCUUUUCUUUUUUAUUGCUGUUGCCUUCUGUGGAUUCAGACACACACUCACACACAACUACGCCAGCGCGUGUACGGGGCUCACGCGAGCGUACAGCCAGCGAUGGAGAGAGGGGGUGGGGGCAACAAGAGCAGUCUACAUUAAGUCGACGACAAAACAACUUCCCCUCUCCCUCCAAAAGAGGCGCCUACACAUUAGGGCAAACGCACGCGCGCACAACCUCUCCUUCUUUUCCUCUCCUCUCUCUCUAACACACCUCCGAUAG